UUGAGCCGUGUGCUGGGAAACUCGCAUGCACGGUUCUUAGGGGGCGGCGGCGCAGCAAUGCGCCGCUGCUACCUGAC
rnacentral:ncRNA from 1 species